rnacentral:rRNA from 1 species
AGGACGAACGCUGGCGGCACGCUAACACAUGCAAGUCGAACGAACGGAGAUAGCUUGCUAUCAAAGUUAGUGGCGGACGGGUGAGUAACACGUGAGCAAUCUGCCUUUAAGUGGGGGAAUAACGAUUGGAAACGGUCGGUAAUACCGCAUAAAAUAGCUGAACCGCAUGAUUUGGCUAUCAAAGAUUUAUCGCUUAAAGAUGAGCUCGCGUCUGAUUAGCUAGUUGGUGAGGUAACGGCCCACCAAGGCGACGAUCAGUAGCCGGACUGAGAGGUUGAACGGCCACAUUGGGACUGAGACACGGCCCAGACUCCUACGGGAGGCAGCAGUGGGGAAUAUUGCACAAUGGGCGCAAGCCUGAUGCCAGCGAUGCCGCGUGAGGGAAGAAGGUUUUCGGAUUGUAAACCUCUGUUGACAGGGACGAUAAUGUCGGUACCUGUUCAGAAAGCUCCGGCUAACUACGUGCCAGCCGCUGC